GGUAGUAGCAAAUAUUCAAAUGAGAGCUUUGAAGACCGAAGUGGAGAAAGGUUCCAUGUGAACAGCAGUUGGACAUGGGUUAGUCGAUCCUAAGAGAUAGGGAAAUUCCGUUUGCAAGCGCCCGAUCUUGGGCCGCCUAUCGAAAGGGAAUCGGGUUAAUAUUCCCGAACCGGGACGCGGAUAUUGCCGUUCGCGGCAGAUGCGGUAACGCAAACGAACCCGAAGACGCUGGCGGGGGCCCUGGGAAGAGUUCUCUUUUCUUUUUAACGAGCUUUCACCCUGAACUCAGCUUGCCUGGAGAUAGGGUUUAAUGCUCGGUAAAGCACCACACUUCUUGUGGUGUCCGGUGCGCUCUCGACGGCCCUUGAAAAUUCGGGGAAGACAUUGAUUUUCGUGUCCGGUCGUACUCAUAACCGCAGCAGGUCUCCAAGGUGAGCAGCCUCUAGUU
rnacentral:rRNA from 1 species